ensembl:lncRNA LINC01192 long intergenic non-protein coding RNA 1192
AGAGAUGAAGCCAACAUAGCUCUGUGUCUCACCCAAGGCCUGCUGUAACCACUCCCUGGACAGCAUUGAAUUCAGAGCCUCACAAUUGCUGUGUUCUACUUCGCCUAGCAACCAGAGAUGAUCCCUGCAACAUGCUGCUGUUGCUGGGAGUGGGAAAGAGGUGGCAUCGGCGGUUCAAGACUGAGUUUUCUAUCUCUUCAGUGCCUCUUUCAACAAUGAAGAUCAAACCAGGUUUUGUGCAAAUAUCUGCUGAGUGAACUACUUAUUUGAAAAUACAUCAUUGGUUAAUAUUCCCUUUUGCUCAUUGAAAUCUCAAAGACUACAGACCCCGCACAAGACAUUCUGACAUUCCCGUCUUUGAAAUGAAUGACAGCAAUGAUAAAUAUGGCUCACCUCCAGAGAUACAGAUCUCACAACUUCAUAUUUUUAAUAUAAAUUAUUAAUCUGAGGUGUGGUGCAAUUCCAUUAGAUGAAAGAGAUCUACACAUUCAGAAGCACAUGAUUCUUCCCCCUUCCAUGAUUCCAGUGGCCAAUAGACAAACUACAAUAAAGCCAUGCCCUGACUGGAUGUGCCUAACAUUUGUCUGGUGCUUAAAGGAGUUGGCUGCAUGCGUGGGAUGGAGAAGGAUUCAACAUUUAAUGGCAGUUAGAAUCAAAUUUUUAACUCAAGAAGGCAGAAGGAAUCCACCUAAAUAAAUGUUGGAAAGUCACCAAAAAUAGUUCUCCAAGUCAGAAGCGGUGCAAAAGCUGCCUCAGCUCUUGGUGGAUUUUCAAUUUCUCCCAGCCAUCUCUGUUUCGCUAAAGGUUUCUGAAGACAGUGGAAUGCUGUUGAAGACACCACCUUGAUAAAACAAAAACAUCAGCCAAAUUAAAUUUAAAGGAGUUUAAUUGAGCAAAGAAUUAUUCAUGAAUCAAGCAGUCUUCCAAGCCAGAGUAGGCUCAAAUACUCCAGCACAGCCACGUGGUGGAAGAUUUAUGGACAAAAGAAGAAAAGUAACAUAUAGAAAAUGGAAAUGAGGGGAAGCUUUUUUCUCCUCCCCAUCCUGAUCACUAGUAUGAGAAGGGGUGCUAAUGGACCAGCCUUGGCCUUGCAGAUGAAGAUGAUGAAGGAAGAAGAUGUAUAAAGAACCUCUGAAAGAGUCCCAGUUUUACAUUUCAAAGUCUUUUUCCUUCUGUUGUUUAUUGUGUUGGGUUGGAGUGGAGGAUAUUUGAUGGAGAAUUGAUUCUGAAACUUGCCAAAAUAUGGAUAAUACUUUGCUCCUUUUCCAUUGUGGGUUAUCACAAAGAAGAGUUUCACUUUUAGUCAUCUAUUUACAGAUAAUGAAGAUAUUAUACCAUUAUAUGCUCUUGAAUCUGUCUCAUUGUGACUUGGCGAAGAGGCAGUGAAUCUGCCAAAAAGAAGUAGAGCAGCUGUGAAGAUGCCAACACAAUUGAGUACUCUUUCUCUACAUAUUUCUAAAUAUGGCAAUUUAUUGGACACUUAUGAGCAUGGAAUGACAAUGGGGUCAAUUUAACCAUACGGCAAUGCUGAGACACCUUCAUUAUGACCUUUCCCUGGUAUAAGUUAUGUGAUAAUGAAUGCAUGUUUAGUCACACACUGUAGGUACAGAUGGGAAAAAAGAAAGCAUAAAAUAUAAAACAUGAUGUCCAGGUUUCAAAUAAGAAUUCUAAAAUGUUAUUUAAUUAAUGAAAUGAAAAUACUUUACUUUAGAAAAAGAAUAUUGAAUCUCUUUGAUGUAUAAAAUGUAUAUUUCAAAUUAAAAAUUCAAAAGAAACAAA